UCUUGAAAUUGGUUUUGGCUCCAAAAAAUUCCACCUUAUUAACUCGGGUUUAGCGGCAUCCGACUAACAUGAUUUCGACCUGAUCCAUUUAACCCUUCUCUCAUACGCUACCCUCAAACCCUAGAUUCACAUCUACAUCAUCCUCUUCACCUUCACGCUUCUUUUUCCUCCGAUCCUGUGCUUCUCUGUACACAAACCUUAACCACCAUGUGAAGUUCAUUGCUUCUCAAUUUUUAGUAUUCUACUUUUUGUUCCACGCUUCCUCAUUCCCUUCUUCAUACUCUGAAACCCUAGACCCUUCUCCCUCUUUCCCUUUCCUUCCCUCUCUCUCUCUCUCUCUCUCCCUCUCAAAGUAUCGUAAAAAUGAAGAAUUCAUCACAGCCGCCCUAUUCUUCUCCGUCUUCUUCUUCGAUCUUCAUCUCCACGUCAACGUCCUUUCCAGAUCUCUCCUGUGAACUCAUUAGAUCUUGGAUUGCAUUAUCAUCGUUUCGUCUCAACCAAGUUCCUUUUGCGAUUUCUUUGUUCUUCAUCCAUGUUUUGAAAACAUCUGGUCAUUUGAUUCACUUGAUUUCGCUGGUGGUUC